rnacentral:rRNA from 1 species
UACGGGGGGGGCAAGCGUUGUUCGGAAUUACUGGGCGUAAAGGGCUCGUAGGUGGCCAACUAAGUCAGACGUGAAAUCCCCAGGCUCAACUUGGGAACUGCGUCUGAUACUGGAUGGCUUGAAUUCGGGAGAGGGAUACAGAAUUCCUGGUGUAGCGGUGAAAUGCGCAGAUAUCAGGAGGAACACCGGUGGCGAAGGCGGGUCUCUGGGCCGAUACUGACGCUGAGGAGCGAAAGCGUGGGGAGCGAACAGG